rnacentral:tRNA from 1 species
GCCCCGGUAGCUCAACGGUAGAGCAGUUCAACUACAAAGUUGUAGAAAACGGCAAGUGCCUUGGAAAGGUCGCCAGUUCAACUCUGGCCUGGGGCA